AGAUUGAACGCUGGCGGCAUGCUUUACACAUGCAAGUCGAACGGCAGCACGGGGGCAACCCUGGUGGCGAGUGGCGAACGGGUGAGUAAGACAUCGGAACGUGUCCUAUUGUGGGGGAUAACCAGUCGAAAGACGGGCUAAUACCGCAUAAGCUGGAGACAGGAAAGCGGGGGACCUGCGAGGGCCUCGCGCGAUUGGAGCGGCCGAUGUCCGAUUAGCUAGUUGGUAGGGUAAAGCCUACCAAGGCGACGAUCGGUAGCUGGUCUGAGAGGAUGAUCAGCCACACUGGGACUGAGACACGGCCCAGACUCCUACGGGAGGCAGCAGUGGGGAAUUUUUGGACAAGUGGGGGCAACCCGUGAUCCAGCCAUGCCGCGUGAGUGAAGAAGGCCUUGGGUGUAAAGCUCGUUUCGGUGGAACGAAACGGUGGAGUGCUAAUAAGCGUACCACGAACUGAACGUACCUACAGAAGAAGACACCGGCUAACGUACGUGCC
rnacentral:rRNA from 1 species